UCCUCCGUGGCGCAAUUGGCUAGCGCGUUCGACUGUUACUGCACGCUGACAUCGAGAGGUUGGUGGUUCGAGCCCACCCGGAGGAG
rnacentral:tRNA from 1 species